ensembl:lncRNA
AUUUACUUGGUUAUGUCCUCUUUAGGAAAGACAGACUGGCAAGGAGAGAUGGUGGAGUUGCUCUUUAUGUGAGAGAGCAACUAGUAACUGCUGAGAUCCACCUUGGAGUGAAUGAUGAACAACUGGAGAGCUUGUGGGUGAGAAUUAAGGGGCAGGCUAAUACAAGUGACACUGUUGUGGGUGUGUACUACAGGCCGUCUGAUUGGGAGGAGGAAGUUGAUGAGGCUUUCUACAAACAGCUGGAAAUAGCCUUGCAAUCCCCGGCACUGAUUCUCAUGGGGGACUUUAAUCAUCCUACUACUUACUGGAUAAGCAACGUGGCCAGGCACACAUGGUCCAGGUGGUUCCUGCAAUGUGUUGAAGAUAAAUUUCUGAUGCAGCUGGUGGAGGAGCUGACAAGGAGGUUCUUGCUACUUGAUCUUGUUCUUAUCAACAAGGAAGGUCUGGUUGGGGAUGUGAAGGUUGCAAACAGCUUGGGAUGCUGUGAUCAUGAGAUGGUGGAGUUCAUGAUCUCGUUUGGAAGAAGCAAAGCAAUUAGCAGGAUUGACAUUCUGGACUUCAGGAGAGCCAACUUUGUCCUCUUCAAAGACCUGCUUGGAGGAAUCCCAUGGGCUAGAGCCUUAGAAGCUAUGGACACUUGUUAAUCACAUGUCAGAGUCAAACAGAUGUGCCCAGGAUUCAUGCAACUAUUCCAGCAAGUCAGAGCAUGCAAUUUUCUAGCAUCACAGAAUGGCUGGGUUUGGAAGAGACAUUCAAGAUCAGCUGCUUCCAACCCCUGACAUGGGCAGGGCUGCCACCCACAAGAUCACGCUGCCCAGGGCCCCAUCCAACCCGGCCUUGAAUGCCUCUGGAGAUGAGGAAGUCACAGCUUCUCUGGGCAACCUGAGAAAGUAUUCUAGGAAAUUAAUUUAAUCUUUUUCUUGCUCUCCUGGUCUCUUCUAUUCUCCAGCACAUACCAGUGUAAGAAAAAAAUAUACUUUUUUUACU